rfam:Gossypium arboreum cultivar AKA8401 contig_3666_5, whole genome shotgun sequence.
UGUUAAAAAUUAUAUCUGUUUGUAUUGUUAAAAACUAGUGUGACUGACCAAAUAACUAGACAGUAACACGUGACUUGCCACGCAUACCUCAUGUUGAUGUAUAGUGACCAAUUUUUAACAAUUGAAAUGGAUGAAUUUUUAACA